UUGCGAGGAUAUUGUACAAUUAAAGUGGAGCUAUAUAGAAUAAGUAAAUAAAAUUUGUGGUAAGUUACUGGUUGAUUAUUGAUAACCUUGAGAAUUAGACUGAUAGUUAGGCAAUUUAGUUGGUAAUAGUAGAUUGUUAGUGGAAUAAAUAAUUAAGAAUUCAAAUGGUCAUAACCUUUGGAAUCUACUGGCCGACGGAUCAUUUUUUUUUGUAGGAUAAAU
rnacentral:lncRNA from 1 species